GAAAUGCGAUAAGUAGUGUGAAUUGCAGAAUUCAGUGAAUCAUCGAAUCUUUGAACGCACAUUGCGCCCCUUGGUAUUCCAUGGGGCAUGCCUGUUCGAGCGUCAUUUGUACCCUCAAGCUCUGCUUGGUGUUGGGUGUUUGUCCCAUCUCCGCGCGUGGACUCGCCCCAAAGUGAUUGGCAGCCGGCGUACUGGUCCCGGAGCGCAGCACAUGUCGCGCAAACGAGUGCCUUGGUACGGCGGCGUCCAUAAGCCCCUCUCUCACGCUCUUGACCUCGGAUCAGGUAGGGAUACCCGCUGAACUUAAGC
rnacentral:misc_RNA from 1 species